rnacentral:rRNA from 1 species
UACGGAGGGUGCAAGCGUUAUCCGGAUUCACGGGGGUUAAAGGGUGCGUAGGUGGGCAGGUAAGUCAGUGGUGAAAUCUCCGGGCUUAACCCGGAAACUGCCGUUGAUACUAUUUGUCUUGAAUAUUGUGGAGGUAAGCGGAAUAUGUCAUGUAGCGGUGAAAUGCUUAGAUAUGACAUAGAACACCAAUUGCGAAGGCAGCUUACUACACAAUGAUUGACACUGAGGCACGAAAGCGUGGGGAUCAAACAGG